rnacentral:rRNA from 1 species
AGUGAACGCUGGCGGUAGGCCUAACACAUGCAAGUCGAACGGCAGCACAGUAAGAGCUUGCUCUUACGGGUGGCGAGUGGCGGACGGGUGAGGAAUACAUCGGAAUCUACUUUUUCGUGGGGGAUAACGUAGGGAAACUUACGCUAAUACCGCAUACGACCUACGGGUGAAAGCAUGGGAUCUUCGGACCUUGCGCGAUUGAAUGAGCCGAUGUCGGAUUAGCUAGUUGGCGGGGUAAAGGCCCACCAAGGCGACGAUCCGUAGCUGGUCUGAGAGGAUGAUCAGCCACACUGGAACUGAGACACGGUCCAUACUCCUACGGGAGGCAGCAGUGGGGAAUAUUGGACAAUGGGCGCAAGCCUGAUCCAGCCGUACCGAGUGGGUGAAGAAGGCCUUCGGGUUGUAAAGCCCUUUUGUUGGGAAAGAAAAGCAGCAGGUUAAUACCACGCUGUUCUGACGGUACCCAAAGAAUAAGCACCGGCUAACUUCGUG